GACGAACGCUGGCGGCGUGCUUAACACCUGCAAGUCGAACGGAAAGGCCCUGCUUGCAGGGUCCUCGAGUGGCGAACGGGUGAGUAACACGUGGGUGAUCUGCCCUGCACUUCGGGAUAAGCCUGGGAAACUGGGUCUAAUACCGGAUAGGAGCCAUUUUUAGUGUGAUGGUUGGAAAGUUUUUUCGGUGUAGGAUGAGCUCGCGGCCUAUCAGCUUGUUGGUGGGGUAAUGGCCUACCAAGGCGGCGACGGGUAGCCGGCCUGAGAGGGUGGACGGCCACAUUGGGACUGAGAUACGGCCCAGACUCCUACGGGAGGCAGCAGUGGGGAAUAUUGCACAAUGGGCGCAAGCCUGAUGCAGCGACGCCGCGUGGGGGAUGACGGCCUUCGGGUUGUAAACUCCUUUCGCUAGGGACGAAGCUUUUUGUGACGGUACCUAGAGAAGAAGCACCGGCUAACUACGUG
rnacentral:rRNA from 1 species